GAUGAACGCUGGCGGCGUGCCUAAUACAUGCAAGUCGAGCGAACGGACGAGAAGCUUGCUUUUCUGAUGUUAGCGGCGGACGGGUGAGUAACACGUGGAUAACCUACCUAUAAGACUGGGAUAACUUCGGGAAACCGGAGCUAAUACCGGAUAAUAUUUUGAACCGCAUGGUUCAAAAGUGAAAGACGGUCUUGCUGUCACUUAUAGAUGGAUCCGCGCUGCAUUAGCUAGUUGGUAAGGUAACGGCUUACCAAGGCAACGAUGCAUAGCCGACCUGAGAGGGUGGUCGGCCACACUGGAACUGAGACACGGUCCAGACUCCUACGGGAGGCAGCAGUAGGGAAUCUUCCGCAAUGGGCGAAAGCCUGACGGAGCAACGCCGCGUGAGUGAUGAAGGUCUUCGGAUCGUAAAACUCUGUUAUGAGGGAAGAACAUAUGUGUAAGUAACUGUGCACAUCUUGACGGUACCUAAUCAGAAAGCAACGGCUAACUACGUG
rnacentral:rRNA from 1 species